rnacentral:rRNA from 1 species
AUUAAAAGCUCACUUCACUUCUAAACUAAAGCAUUCUUCAAACUUAGUAUAGGCGAUAGAAAAGUCCCAUUUGGCGCGAUAGAGAUUUUUGUACCGUAAGGGAAAGAUGAAAUAAUAAUGAAAACCUAAGCGAUAAACAGCAAAGAUAAACCCUUGUACCUCUUGCAUCAUGAUUUAGCGAGAACAACCAAGCAAAAUGAACUUAAGCUUGCCCUCCCGAAACCCAAGCGAGCUACUCACGAGCAGCUAUGACUGAGCGAACCCAUCUCUGUUGCAAAAGAGUGGGAUGACUUGUUAGUAGUGGUGAAAAGCCAAUCGAGCUGGGUGAUAGCUGGUUGCCUGUGAAAUGAAUCUAAGUUCUUCCUUAAUCCUCCUCCACGGACACCUACAAGCCCUCAUGUAAAGGACUAAGAGAAAUUUAAAGGAGGUACAGCUCCUUUAAAAAAGAAUACAACCUCCACUAGCGGAUAACUCCCACCAACUUCCACUAGAUUGUGGGCCUUUAAGCAGCCACCAGUAAAGAGUGCGUCAAAGCUCUAUACUUAAAAAUCUAAAAACAACAUGACUCCCUUAUCCUUAACAGGCUAACCUAUCACAAUAGGAGAAUUUAUGCUAAAAUGAGUAACUAGGGUCUUUCCCCUCUCAAGCGCAAGCUUACAUCCGCACAUUAUUAACAGGCUUCACUAAUACUACAACUUAAACAAGAUUAGGUAUUAACCACCCCUGUUAACCCAACUCAGGAGCGCCUACUAGAAAGAUUAAAAUCUGCAAAAGGAACUAGGCAAACCCAGGGCCCGACUGUUUACCAAAAACAUAGCCUUCAGCCAUCCAAGUAUUGAAGGUGAUGCCUGCCCAGUGACAUUACGUUUAACGGCCGCGGUAUCCUAACCGUGCGAAGGUAGCGCAAUCAAUUGUCCCAUAAAUCGAGACUUGUAUGAAUGGCUAAACGAGGUCCUAACUGUCUCUUGCAGAUAAUCAGUGAAAUUGAUCUUCCUGUGCAAAAGCAGGAAUACACACAUAAGACGAGAAGACCCUGUGGAACUUAAAAAUCAGUGGCCACCGCACAUACUCCUAAACCUACCAGGCUUAUUAUCAUCAAAACAUUGGCUCACAUUUUUUGGUUGGGGCGACCUUGGAGAAAAACAGAUCCUCCAAAAAUAAGACAACCAAUCUUAACCAAGAGCAACCCCUCAACGUACUAACAGUAACCAGACCCAAUACAAUUGAUUAAUGGACCAAGCUACCCCAGGGAUAACAGCGCAAUCUCCCUCAAGAGCCCAUAUCGACAGGGAGGUUUACGACCUCGAUGUUGGAUCAGGACAUCCUAAUGGUGCAGCCGCUAUUAAGGGUUCGUUUGUUCAACGAUUAACAGUCCUACGUGAUCUGAGUUCAGACCGGAGCAAUCCAGGUCGGUUUCUAUCUAUGACAAACUUCCCCUAGUACGAAAGGACCGGGAAAGUGAGGCCAAUACCACAAGCACGCCUCCCCUUUAAGUAAUGUACACAACUAAAUUGC